rnacentral:rRNA from 1 species
AUGAACGCUGGCGGCAGGCCUAACACAUGCAAGUCGAACGCCCCGCAAGGGGAGUGGCAGACGGGUGAGUAACACGUGGGAACGUACCCUUUGGUUCGGAACAACUCCGGGAAACUGGAGCUAAUACCGAAUAAGCCCUACGGGGGAAAGAUUUAUCGCCGAAGGAUCGGCCCGCGUCGGAUUAGCUAGUUGGUGGGGUAAAAGCCUACCAAGGCGACGAUCCGUAGCUGGUCUGAGAGGAUGACCAGCCACACUGGGACUGAGACACGGCCCAGACUCCUACGGGAGGCAGCAGUGGGGAAUAUUGGACAAUGGGCGCAAGCCUGAUCCAGCCAUGCCGCGUGAGUGAUGAAGGCCUUAGGGUUGUAAAGCUCUUUCGCCAGGGACGAUAAUGACGGUACCUGGAUAAGAAGCCCCGGCUAACUUCGU